GAUGAACGCUGGCGGCGUGCCUAAUACAUGCAAGUCGAGCGAACGGACGAGAAGCUUGCUUCUCUGAUGUUAGCGGCGGACGGGUGAGUAACACGUGGAUAACCUACCUAUAAGACUGGGAUAACUUCGGGAAACCGGAGCUAAUACCGGAUGAUAUUUUGAACCGCAUGGUUCAAAAGUGAAAGACGGUCUUGCUGUCGCUUAUAGAUGGAUCCGCGCUGCAUUAGCUAGUUGGUAAGGUAACGGCUUACCAAGGCAACGAUGCAUAGCCGACCUGAGAGGGUGAUCGGCCACACUGGAACUGAGACACGGUCCAGACUCCUACGGGAGGCAGCAGUAGGGAAUCUUCCGCAAAGGGCGAAAGCCUGACGGAGCAACGCCGCGUGAGUGAUGAAGGUCUUCGGAUCGUAAAACUCUGUUAUUAGGGAAGAACAUAUGUGUAAGUAACUGUGCACAUCUUGACGGUACCUAAUCAGAAAGCCACGGCUAACUACGUG
rnacentral:rRNA from 1 species